UUUGUUCAUAUAACACAGAAA
rnacentral:piRNA from 1 species